AUGCUCCCUUCUUCAGCCCAUGUAAUAAAAUUGGAAAGAUACAAGUUAAGAUUAGCAUGGCCCCUGAGCAAAGAUGAUAUGUAAAUUUGUGAAGUGUUCCGUAUUUUU